UUGGAGGGCAAGUCUGGUGCCAGCAGCCGCGGUAAUUCCAGCUCCAAUAGCGUAUAUUAAAGUUGUUGCAGUUAAAAAGCUCGUAGUUGAAUUUCGGGGUCAGUAGAUUGGUCAUGCCACUGGUAUGUACUGGUCUCACUGAUUCCUCCUUCCUGAUGAGCCGUAAUGCCAUUAAUUUGGUGUUGCGAGGAGUCUGGACUGUUACUUUGAAAAAAUUAGAGUGUUUAAAGCAGGCUAACGCUUGAAUACAUUAGCAUGGAAUAAUGAAAUAGGACGUUCGAUCUUAUUUUGUUGGUUUCUAAGAUUGACGUAAUGAUUAAUAGGGAUAGUUGGGGGCAUUAGUAUUCAAUUGUCAGAGGUGAAAUUCUUGGAUUUAUUGAAGACUAACUACUGCGAAAGCAUUUGCCAAGGAUGUUUUCAUUAAUCAAGAACGAAAGUUAGGGGAUCGAAGACGAUCAGAUACCGUCGUAGUCUUAACCAUAAACUAUGCCGACUAGGGAUCGGAUGAUGUUAAUUUUUUAAUGACUCAUUCGGCACCUUACGGGAAAC
rnacentral:rRNA from 1 species